rnacentral:rRNA from 1 species
GCUCUUUCGGCCGGGAANAAAUCGCACANNNNAAUACUCUGUGUGGAUGACGNUACCGGCAUANNNNNCACCGGCUAACUACGUGCCAGCANCCGCGNUNNUACGUAGGGUGCGAGCGUUAAUCGGAAUUACUGGGCGUAAAGCGUGCGCAGGCGGUUAGAUAAGUUUGAUGUGAAAUCCCCGGGCUCAACCUGGGAACUGCAUUGAAGACUGUCUGACUAGAGUACGGCAGAGGGGGGUGGAAUUCCAUGUGUAGCAGUGAAAUGCGUAGAGAUGUGGAGGAACACCGAUGGCGAAGGCAGCCCCCUGGGUCGAUACUGACGCUCAUGCACGAAAGCGUGGGGAGCAAACAGGAUUAGAUACCCUGGUAGUCCACGCCCUAAACGAUGUCAACUAGUUGUUGGUAGGGUUAAACCUAUUAGUAACGUAGCUAACGCGUGAAGUUGACCGCCUGGGGAGUACGGUCGCAAGAUUAAAACUCAAAGGAAUUGACGG